GACGAACGCUGGCGGCGUGCUUAACACAUGCAAGUCGAACGGAAAGGCCCCUUUGGGGGUACACGAGUGGCGAACGGGUGAGUAACACGUGAGUAACCUGCCCUUGACUUCGGGAUAACUUCAGGAAACUGGGGCUAAUACCGGAUAGGAAUCCUUGCUGCAUGGUGGGGGUUGGAAAGCUUCGGCGGUUUUGGAUGGACUCGCGGCUUAUCAGCUUGUUGGUGGGGUAGUGGCUUACCAAGGCUUUGACGGGUAGCCGGCCUGAGAGGGUGACCGGCCACAUUGGGACUGAGAUACGGCCCAGACUCCUACGGGAGGCAGCAGUGGGGAAGAUUGCACAAUGGGCGGAAGCCUGAUGCAGCAACGCCGCGGGCGGGAUGACGGCCUUCGGGUUGUAAACCGCUUUCAGCAGGGGCGAAGCUUGUGGUGACGGUACCUGCAGAAGAAGCACCGGCUAACUACGUG
rnacentral:rRNA from 1 species